UGCAGUCGAGCGGACCGACGGGAGCUUGCUCCCUUAAGUCAGCGGCGGACGGGUGAGUAACACGUGGGUAACCUGCCUGUAAGACUGGGAUAACUCCGGGAAACCGGGGCUAAUACCGGAUGCUUGAUUGAUUCGCAUGGUUCAGACCUGAAAGGUGGCUUCGGCUGUCGUUUACAGAUGGACCCGCGGCGCAUUAGCUAGUUGGUGAGGUAACGGCUCACCAAGGCGACGAUGCGUAGCCGACCUGAGAGGGUGAUCGGCCACACUGGGACUGAGACACGGCCCAGACUCCUACGGGAGGCAGCAGUAGGGAAUCUUCCGCAAUGGACGAAAGUCUGACGGAGCAACGCCGCGUGAGUGAUGAAGGUUUUCGGAUCGUAAAGCUCUGUUGUCAGGGAAGAACAAGUGCCGUACUAAUAGCGCGGUACCUUGACGGUACCGAACCAAAAGGCCACGGCUAACUACUUGCCACCACCCGCGGUAUUACUUAGGUGGCAGGCGUUGUCCGGAAUUAUGGGGCGUA
rnacentral:rRNA from 1 species